AGUUCAGCCAUAUUAUAUUAUACAUUCUUUUGUUUACGGGAAACCCAUUCAGGAAGACCUUGGGCAUUCAACUUAAAUCGCAACUCCAAAAGACACUGAUGUAUUCAUAAUUUUGUUACUGUUUAGCCGGUCCGAAAUAUAUAAGCUUCAAAAAAUUCAUGGUGUUCAGUUGUCCAUCGGAGGAGACAAGGACUAGUAAGAAAUUACAAUGAAUUCUGUACUGAUAACAUUUGCCGUUAUGAUCUCUGCUGCAACGGCUGACCCAGCUGUUCUAAUAAGCAAUGGCUUACUGACUUCCCCAUCAGCCGCAUACAUUGCCUCAUCACCUUUGGUCUCGCCUGUCGGAGCACCUUUUGCAUCUCUAAACUCACUCCCCGUGUCCGCACUACCGUACACGGCCGUAUCUGACUACAGAUAUUCCUAUGGUUCAGGCCUGAGUUAUCAGGAUUACGCGCCAGUUGCCCUAUCUGGAUCAGCUGUAUCGCUUCCUUACACCUUGCCUUAUGCCUACGCGGCUGACUGGUACUACCGGAAGUAACUAAGUAGACGUACAAAGCGAUUUUAGUUACGAUACUGUUGAUUCCUUCCAAGGUUUGUUUGUUAUGCGUAUGUUAAAUAAAGUGUUAUUUUAA